GAUGAACGCUGGCGGCGUGCCUAAUACAUGCAAGUCGAGCGAACAGAUGAGAAGCUUGCUUCUCUGAUGUUAGCGGCGGACGGGUGAGUAACACGUGGGUAACCUACCUAUAAGACUGGGAUAACUCCGGGAAACCGGGGCUAAUACCGGAUAAUAUUUUGAACCGCAUGGUUCAAUAGUGAAAGGCGGUUUCGGCUGUCACUUAUAGAUGGACCCGCGCCGUAUUAGCUAGUUGGUAAGGUAACGGCUUACCAAGGCGACGAUACGUAGCCGACCUGUGAGGGUGAUCGGCCACACUGGAACUGGGACACGGUCCAGACUCCUACGGGAGGCAGCAGUAGGGAAUCUUCCGCAAUGGGCGAAAGCCUGACGGAGCAACGCCGCGUGAGUGAUGAAGGUCUUCGGAUCGUAAAACUCUGUUGUUAGGGAAGAACAAAUUUGUUAGUAACUGAACAAGUCUUGACGGUACCUAACCAGAAAGCCACGGCUAACUACGUGCCAGCCGCCGCCGUAA
rnacentral:rRNA from 1 species